rnacentral:ncRNA from 20 species
CCUGGACAAGGGGAUGGGGUUCCCCUGAAACCGCCGCAAGGCUGAUGACUCCUCUGUGCCG